rnacentral:rRNA from 1 species
AAUCCAUAGGUUAAUGAGGCGAACCGGGGGAACUGAAACAUCUAAGUACCCCGAGGAAAAGAAAUCAACCGAGAUUCCCCCAGUAGCGGCGAGCGAACGGGGAGGAGCCCAGAGCCUGAAUCAGCAUGUGUGUUAGUGGAAGCGUCUGGAAAGGCGCGCGAUACAGGGUGACAGCCCCGUACACAAAAGCGCAUGUGCUGUGAGCUCGAUGAGUAGGGCGGGACACGUGGUAUCCUGUCUGAAUAUGGGGGGACCAUCCUCCAAGGCUAAAUACUCCUGACUGACCGAUAGUGAACCAGUACCGUGAGGGAAAGGCGAAAAGAACCCCGGCGAGGGGAGUGAAAAAGAACCUGAAACCGUGUACGUACAAGCAGUGGGAGCACCCUUUGGGGUGUGACUGCGUACCUUUUGUAUAAUGGGUCAGCGACUUAUAUUCUGUAGCAAGGUUAACCGUAUAGGGGAGCCGGAGGGAAACCGAGUCUUAACCGGGCGUUAAGUUGCAGGGUAUAGACCCGAAACCCGGUGAUCUAGCCAUGGGCAGGUUGAAGGUUGGGUAACACUAACUGGAGGACCGAACCGACUAAUGUUGAAAAAUUAGCGGAUGACCUGUGGCUGGGGGUGAAAGGCCAAUCAAACCGGGAGAUAGCUGGUUCUCCCCGAAAGCUAUUUAGGUAGCGCCUCGUGAACUCAUCUCCGGGGGUAGAGCACUGUUUCGGCUAGGGGGCCAUCCCGGCUUACCAACCCGAUGCAAACUGCGAAUACCGGAGAAUGUUAUCACGGGAGACACACGGCGGGUGCUAACGUCCGUCGUGAAGAGGGAAACAACCCAGACCGCCAGCUAAGGUCCCAAAGUCAUGGUUAAGUGGGAAACGAUGUGGGAAGGCCCAGACAGCCAGGAUGUUGGCUUAGAAGCAGCCAUCAUUUAAAGAAAGCGUAAUAGCUCACUGGUCGAGUCGGCCUGCGCGGAAGAUGUAACGGGGCUAAACCAUGCACCGAAGCUGCGGCAGCGACGCUGAUG